GACGAACGCUGGCGGCGUGCCUAAUACAUGCAAGUUGAGCGAUGAAGAUUGGUGCUUGCACCAAUUUGAAGAGCAGCGAACGGGUGAGUAACGCGUGGGGAAUCUGCCUUUGAGCGGGGGACAACAUUUGGAAACGAAUGCUAAUACCGCAUAACAACUUUAAACAUAAGUUUUAAGUUUGAAAGAUGCAAUUGCAUCACUCAAAGAUGAUCCCGCGUUGUAUUAGCUAGUUGGUGAGGUAAAGGCUCACCAAGGCGAUGAUACAUAGCCGACCUGAGAGGGUGAUCGGCCACAUUGGGACUGAGACACGGCCCAAACUCCUACGGGAGGCAGCAGUAGGGAAUCUUCGGCAAUGGACGAAAGGCUGACCGAGCAACGCCGCGUGAGUGAAGAAGGUUUUCGGAUCGUAAAACUCUGUUGGUAGAGAAGAACGUUGGUGAGAGUGGAAAGCUCAUCAAGUGACGGUAACUACCCAGAAAGGGACGGCUAACUACGUG
rnacentral:rRNA from 1 species